rnacentral:lncRNA from 1 species
AACGGGCUCCUUUCACCUGAGUCCUCGCCUCUGAGGGCGCGAGAGGGGAGCUGACGCAGCGACGGAAGCGGGGCCCCAGAGGAGCCCCAGUCCCGGCGCAGCACCCUGGCGCCGGGGCAGCCUCGGGAGGUGCAGGGCGGGACCCGGGACCCGGGACCCGGGACAGGCGGGAGGGCGAGGCCGGCGGGCCCCGCAGGCCGUGGGUCCCGGACGCUCAAGAAGAGCCUGCGGGGCCUUCUCCCCUCGGAGUCCUCGCACCUGCGUCCGCCUUCGCCUCGUCACCUGUGUUCCGCUUCAGCAGCCGGGGGCAUUGCCAUAGAGACCUCACCGCUGGUGCAACGCGGAGGCCCAGGGGACCCUAUGUAAUUGAUUUAGAUGUGCUAAUAAAUUCCCCUACAAUUUCGUGUGUAGCUUUCUUUGAAGAGAGGGCCAAGAUGACAAGUGAGAGGGAGUAA